UUAGAUGAUGUUUGACCUUGAAAGGUAA
rnacentral:piRNA from 1 species